CGACACAAGAUUCUUCCAUGGAACUCCUAGCUGAAUAAAGAGAGCUGAUCUGAGUAGGGAAAAGAAAUUCCACAGGCCUUGGUGAUUUUCACAAGUGGCCAGCUAAGGGUCCCAGCUAAUAACAUCAUCAGGUUAGAGGAAUUAAGGCCAGCCAAGAGGCAUUGUUGAGUUCCUGAAGGCCCUGGAGCCAAAGAGACUAAGUUUCUGGAUUCCCAAUUUGCAGCAUGGAGAGCUCCUCUGAUGAGCCAAAAAAAAAAUGGAUGAAAGUGCCCAUUCUGGCAUGUCCUGGCUUUUGUGUAUCUCGCCUGUGAUAGCCUGGGUCAUGUGUUCUGCGGUCCAGGCACAUAAUCACAUCAAGUCAUCAGGGUUGAUGGCAGCAUCUAAAUCCCAGUGUUGUUGUGAAGAUAAAAUGAGAUAAUAAUUCUGAAAUGCUUAGCACAGCACCUGGCAAAUAAGUCUGUGAACAGUGGAGAAUGGAGAGAAGAGCUGACUGACUUCCUGGGCUUUCCCUGAACCCUAAUCUUCUUCUGUCAGAUGCCUGAAGUGCUGGUAAUCUUCCACAAUAUUUCCAUUGUCUACCAUUUUGUGGUCCUACUUUUGCUCAUCACAGAUGCUUUUGAAUGCCACACUUGCUGUAACACAUUCAAUGAAUCUUUUCUUAACUUGAUAAUGUUGUGAGAGGAGGAAUUCCAGAGACUUUUUGGACAUGCAAAGAGCCUGAAUGGCUACAAAGAUCACAGCUGCAGCAGUGGGGGGAAUGGCAGAGCAAUCUUGGAAUCCUGGGAAAGAGAAUCCAAAGGAGGCAGUUGAAGCCAGAGGUCUUUGACUAUGCCCUGAUCUCAAGAAACCUCUGUUUUCACUGACUCCUGAAACCUAUCCCCCUAAUACCUCCAACAAGUGGACAGAGCCUGAGAGAAGAAGAGUACACACAAACAAAACAAAUCAUGGUCUUUUCUCCUGAACUGAGGCUUCCGCGGGUCAGGGCUAAAAGUCAGAGUUCAUCACCUUGAAUCCCUCAGGGGCUGGAGGCUUUUAAGCUCAAGUCACUUCAACUUUGGGAGAAAAGAGUUUAAAUAGUAAGGGACCCCUCCUUCCUUUUUCCUUUGCCUCUACUUACCCCCUUUUUCCUCACUCCUCCUUGUUUUAUUGCCCCAAUAGAAUAAACUUGUAAUCUUGUAUUAAUUGACUGAAGAC
rnacentral:lncRNA from 1 species